rnacentral:rRNA from 1 species
CCGGCCCUCCCCUUUUAGGGGCCCCAGAAAAACAGUGCCUAACUUAACCUUGGGGAGGGGGGACACCCCCAAAGGGCUGGCGGCCGAUCCGCCGCCAGUCGCCCGAGGGUGGGGGCACGGCCCAUCAGGUAGUUGGCGGGUUAAAGGCCCGCCAAGCCGAAGACGGGUAGGGGCGGUGAGAGCCGUGAGCCCCGAGAUGGGCACUGAGACAAGGGCCCAGGCCCUACGGGGUGCAGCAGGCGCGAAUACUCCGCAAUGCGGGCAACCGCGACGGGGCUACCCCGAGUGCCGGGCGAAGAGCCCGGCUUUUGCCCGGUCUAAAAAGCCGGGAGAAUAAGCGGGGGGCAAGUCUGGUGUCAGCCGCCGCGGUAAUACCAGCUCCGCGAGUGGUCGGGGUGUUUACUGGGCUUAAAGCGCCCGUAGCCGGCCCGGCAAGUCGCUCCUGAAAUCCCCGGGCUCAACCCGGGGGCCGGGGGCGAUACUGCCGGGCUAGGGGGCGGGAGAGGCCGCCGGUACUCCGGGGGUAGGGGCGAAAUCCGUUAAUCCCCGGAGGACCACCAGUGGCGAAAGCGGGCGGCCAGAACGCGCCCGACGGUGAGGGGCGAAAGCCGGGGGAGCAAAGGGGAUUAGAUACCCCUGUAGUCCCGGCCGUAAACGAUGCGGGCUAGCUGUCGGUCGGGCUUAAGGCCCGGCCGGUGGCCAAAGGGAAACCGUUAAGCCCGCCGCCUGGGGAGUACGGCCGCAAG